GCUGAUAACCCCUACGAAAAUGGAUUUCAAACUAGGGAAAUUUUCUCCAAUAGAGAAGAUAAAUACAAAGUUAGAUAAUAUAUUAGAAAUUAUUAAUCCUUUGUCACCCAAAAAAACAAGCAAGGCUUGAAAACAUGCGAGAAGAAAAAUAAGAACACAUAUCGAUAAAUAAGAACACAUAUUAAGAUUAAGUGUUGAAAAGAAAAUGAAUUGUGGAGCAUUUCUUAAGUGAUGAUAUUGUAUUACAGAAUAGGAAAUUAACAUAUUUAAUACGAAACCAGCAAAGUAUAUAGGUCAUGUGCAAUGCAAAUUCUGUUUAUGUAUUGUGAUAAUUGAUUUAUCACAUAAUUAUUGAAAUUUCUGACAGACCAGUCAAAAAUCACAUAACCUCAAUUCAGUGAUAUGAUAUGAAUAUUAUAGAGAAAGAGUGCUCAUAACCCCUAUGGGUUAUGUCAAAAUGGAAUUCAAACUAGGGAAAUUUGCUCUAAUCAAGAAGAUAAAUUGUCACCAAAGAAACAAGCAAGACUUAAAAACAUUCAAGAAGGAAAACAAAGAAUGCACCGGAUAUCACACAUUAUAUGGAUUAAGUGUUGAAGAGAACAUGAAUUGUAAUUCAGAUCUUGAAAAUUAAUAGGAUAAAAUCAAUGCAAGAAAAUUGAG